CCGAAUAAUGGCAGUCAGUGGGGAAUCUGAACGGGGACCUAAAGCGCCUGCAUCUUUGAAGGCUUGUGCUUUAUUUUUAAAAUUCGGAUGAACUUUGCAUUCCAAUGCGUGAAGCAUCUUGAUUUGAUUUCAUUUACAAGAGCUUCUCUUUCAGGCUGCUGGAGAAAUAAAUGAACCCUCCAAGAAGAUGUGCCCUGUGUACCUUGGAAAAUCACCAAGAAUUCCAAGUGCAUGCGGCAUGACGACACCAUCUCGAAAGGACUCUGGAGGGACCUUAGGGAACGCAGUCCCUCCCACCCCUGGGUGUGCUCCUGUGUCUUCACCCUCACCACAGAAUAAGUCCUGCAAUGUGGCCACGCAAGUCAACUCAGGAGGAGACAUGGGUGCUGGAGCUGGUAAUCACCACUUGUGAUUUCACAAUGGUGUUUGCAGGAAGAAGACAGAAGAGGCAAUCGGGAUGAUAAGGGUGAAUUUGUUUAACUAAAUACCAUCAGAUAAAUUAGUAAAAGUAUUUUAAAUAAAGUAUGACAUGUGAGAAUCAUCCCUUUAGGGAUGCAGAAAA